AUGUAAUAAAGAUGUGUUUGUCACUGCUUUAAUGCUGAGCUGUAAAUAUCACAAUAACUUCUCACUGUCACAUGCUCAGACAUAUGUAAAGGACUAUGGGACUGACAGAGGUUGCUAUUUCAUAGUGCACAAGACUUAAAGGUGCAGUAAUCAAUUUCUGAGAAACUCUGUUGGUAUUUGAAAUCACCAGUACAAACAUGCCCCUACCAAAAGGAUCACACCCCGAUCUUGAUAGCUCCACCCAUAAAUUCACAAACAUCACAGGCACGACCCCAAUUAUGAGUGUAUAAGCCCCUUACUGCUGAUUGGCUACAAGUGUUUUAGUGGUCGUGUAACUAGGGUGACCAAAAUCAAACAAACCAAAUGUGGAGCGAUUACAAAGUUUGUGUGGGACAAUGUGGGACAUGUUACCAAAACUAAAACAUAACCUGAAACUGUUAUAUAAUGUCUAUCUAAGUUAAUAAAAACAUUUGUAUUCUGCCUUUCAGCUGAUAAAAAUACUUUGUCCAUUAGUCCCUUCCAGAAAACACAAUUACAUCACAAUGUAACAUAAUAUGUCUUUAUUUUACAUGUCAUUUAAAUUUCAACAUCACUGAGCCCAAAGGCAGCAUUGACUUGGACGUUUCUUUCUGUUGUUCCCUUUUCUUGUGUGAUUAGCAUGUGCUAUGACGCCUAACGUCAUAUUCUCCUCCAUGUGAAAUAGAAAAGCUGCUUUUAUAUAGACCGCAAAACACUCUUUCGGUAACUCCUUCUAUCGGCCUCACCCAGGUAUAUGUCCUAGCCCAGUCUUUACUAAAAGAACAUUUUCUCUUUUUUGUUGCCAUUAUGCCGCCUUGUAAAAUUUUAAUUUACCGAAUUAUCCAUUUAUUUUCUGACAGGGAACACAUGGAACGAAUCACCACUCCACAUUUUGAUUGAUAGCCGUCACAACCUACUAGUGACCAUAUUUACUCCUUUCUUUCCAACCAUUGGAUAGGAUUUAAAAAACAGCUGUUGUAUUUGUGUAAGGCGGAAUGUUACUUCUGACAAAGCGCUGUUAAAUAUAGAUGAAAAACUAAUCCGCAAAAAGAAUAAAUAUAAUGCUUUCUUAAAAAGGCAAAAGAACGCAUGCUCGUUUUCUUAAUAUGAUAAUUAAAAACCAACAGACAGAUGAAAAUGCGGGACAUUUCAGGGGAGUGAGGUUUACUCGUACAGCUCUUAUUAGCUGGUCUCGAUACACUCACUCCCCUAAAAAUCACUCCCAUACGGGUCACGGCACCAAUGUAACCCCUCAGGUCCUACCCGCCCCGCUCUGUGCGGGCCUCGAACCCAGGUCUCUGGCGUGGGAGGUGGGCACUCUAACAAGAAGGCUAAAGUCCAUAGUCUCUAGCGUCAGUCACUAGAGCACCUCGAGAUCAGGGGAGUGAGGUUUACUCGCACAGCUCUUAUUAGCUGGUCUCCAUUACACUCACCCCCCUAAAAAUCACUCCCAUCCGGGUCAUGGCACCAGUGUAACCCCUCAGGUCCUACUCGCCCUGCUCUGUGCAGGCCUCAAACCCAGGUCUUCGGUGUGGGAGGCGGGUGCUCUAACAAGGAGGCUAAAGACCACAACCUCUAGCUUCAGUAGCUAGAACAUUUCUUGAGAUCAGGGGAGUAAGGUUUACUUACACAGCUCUUAUUACCUGGUCUCCGUUAUACUCACCCCCCUAAAAAUCGCUCCCAUCCAGGUCACGGCACUAAGGUAACCCCUCGGGUCCUACUUGCCCCGCUCUGUGCGGGCCUCGAAGCCAGGUCUCCGGCAUGGGAGGUGGGCGCUCUAACAAGGAGGUUGAAGACCACAGCCUCUAACGUCAGUCGCCAGAGCGCCUCUUGAGAUCAGGGGAGUGAGGUUUACUCAUGCAGCUCUUAUUGGCUGGUCUCCGUUACACUCACCCCCCUAAAAAUGACUCCCAUCUGGGUCACGGCACCAAUGUAACCCCUCAGGUCCUACUCGCCCCGCUCUGUGCAGGCCUCGAACCCAGGUCUUCGUUGUGGGAGGCGGGCGCUCUAACAAGGAGGCUAAAGACCACAGCCUCUAGCGUCAGUCGCUAGAGUGCCUCUUUAGAUCAGGGGAGUGAGGUUUACUUGCACAGCUCUUAUUAGCUGGUCUCCGUUACACUCACCCCCCUAAACCUCACUCCCAACCGGGUCAUGGCACCAAUGUAACCCCUCAGGUCCUACUCACCACACUCUGUGAGGGCCUCGAACCCAGGUCUCCGGCGUGGGAGGCGGACACUCUAACAAGGAAGCUAAAGAUCACAGCCUCUAGCGACAGUCGCCUCUAGAGAUCAGGGAAGUGAGGAUUACUCACACAGCUCCUAUUAGCUGGCCUCCACUCGGUCCAAUCCACUUUCAACAGCAUUUCUCAGAAAUCACUUACUGUACCUUUAAUGGUGUGCUCAAUCUUGUUUCUUCUAAAAUUUCUUUGGAGGAUUAAAAACAGACAAAAAUUAGACAAUUGAUUAACAGUAAGUAGGUCUAUAAAACUAGUUUUUGACAUUUUCUUAAGAAAAUGUAUAAGUGGUGUUCAGUUUUGGGCAGAAUGGCUGAAUACUAGUAGCCUACAUUCUCUCAUAUUACAUAAACAAUGCUUUUAGAAUAAAUACAUACUUAUAAAGGCACAAUUGAAAAAAGUGUUAGGCUACAUGUCAUUAUUACACAAAAUGCCUAAAACACAAAUAAUUUGCAUUUCAUAAUGACUCACAUGUUGAUUCAGAACCCACUCUUACGGAGUUAAUUCAGUAAACAGUUCAAAUUCCAAACUGAGUCAAACCGGUACCUCUUGAGUCUUUUGAGUGAUUCAUUGAAAGAUCCAACUCAUACUUCAAGGGCAUAUGGCUGCAUCCGAAAUGGCAUCUCUCGAGUAGGUACUUAUUUUGAAUAAGUAUAAUUACUUUGUGACCACUAAAAAAGUAUGUUGUUCUAACUUAGUUAACUUUACUUAAGUUAAGAUUUAUUGAUUGGUUUGACUAAUUUUCUCAAGCAAAUAGAGUUUUUGAGGUGUGGCAAUUCACUAAUUUUCACUCAUUUCCCCCACUUCUGCAGUUAUCUGUUCCUUAUUGUAUUCACUCAUUAUACAAAGUCAUCUUGAAUGUUGAAUUGUCAAUACAACUGAAAAUUUUGAGAGAAGAACACAUAAGAUCAUAAAUUAAUGUGGAUUUCCUAAAAUGGGUUUGUUGGAAGUCGUCAUUAUGGUGAUCAGUGUUCCAUUUAGUUGGACACUUGGAACUUCAUUUAUAAUUUUAUAUUACUAUAAUUCUCUAUAUUGAUGAAGGUGAUGCAACAAAAAAUCACAGUUAUUUGUGGUUUCAAACGAAGAGAAUCUAGCUAAUUAGAUUUUACAGAAUCUCACCGGAAGAAGUAGGUCAUUCUGGUACUUUUUGCCUAUCCUUUUAUGAGUACUAUGAAUUCAGACACGCUACUCUUGUCACAUACUGUUCUUUUUUUCUUUUCUUUUUUUGCCUACUAAUAAAGUAGGGAAGUAUACGAUUUCGGAUGCAGUUUUUGAUUUACUAAAAAUAAUUGGUUCAUAAGAGUUGUUUGUUAAUGAAUCAGACAACACGGUCGCAUUGAAUGUUUUCUAAUUAAUCAAAAGGGACUCAUGUUGCAUGCAGCUCAAAAAUAAAAACUUGUUUUCUUACCAUUAUCUUGCGGUACACGGUAUCCAAUCAUAGGCAUGAUGACGCGUUUCCACAGAUAUCAACAUCACAAAUCUAGUGUUUUUCAUAUUUUCAUUUUUAAACAAAUUAGCACUAGCUGCGAGGGUGUUUCUAAAGCUAAGGGAGUGAUGGCAGAUUCAUCUUUCUCAUUUCUGACUGCUGUAAUCAAUCUCUCGAUAUUUUACCUCUUUUGGAAAGUCGUGGAAAUGCUCAUUGAUUUUUUUUCUUUGUUACUGGAGCAAAUGGAAAUUUAUAUUUGCUGUCAUCAUCUCAAAUUCACCUCUAUAGAAGUUCACCCAAAUAUGAUGAUUUGCGCUUCUGAGAACCAUGGAAAUUUUCAGGGAUCCACAGAACCGGAAGUCAUCAAGGGUAAACAUCUAUGGGGGAAAAAAUCCAUGAUAGCGUUUCUAUGACUUUCCAAAAGAUAUGUUUAUUGAUCCAAGUCAAAUGAGCACCUCUACUAGAAUCAACCUUAAUAAGGCUUUACACCCUCUUUAAGUCUAUGGGAUUUUUUUUAUAAUUCACCAGGGUUUGGGAUUUGGUCAAAGCCAUAAACAGAGAUAGCAAUUACCAUUUGGCCAUUUAGCAAUAGUAAAUACCAUUUGCUUUGGCAAAACACCACUAAAAAUAUAGUACAACCCAGGUUUUGGAAGACAAAAGUUUCAUAUUCACAUUAUUACUUGGUUUUAAGUUAAUUUUCAUAAUGAAAGGACAUGGUUUCUUAGUUAAUCUGAGCUCAGUUUUUCAUUCUCAGAUCUGUUCUGAAACACUAAGAAAACACACAAGAGAUUAAGGUUUUUAAAAAAAAAAAAAUAAUAAAAAAAAUUAAAAGUCUCCAUUUAGUUUCCAUUGCUGCAUAGGCUUGAAUCUGCAGUCUGCGUGUUACAUUAAAGCCAAAACCAUCAUCCACCCCUACGCUUGUUUUUCUCCACUUCAGCAGAAUAGAUACGGGGUGCAGGACAGCAUUCAUGCAAUCAAAACACAGCCGUCAGGCUCUGAUGUCAUGAAUGCUGAGUGUGUGUUAGGGGUGGACGCAGGAGGGGGGUUCAGGUGGGAGUGUGAGAAAGCUCAAAUUCAGCAUAUGGGCAUCUGCUGGGACGCAGGAACCAUAAUGCACUGGGGGCACUUCUUAAGAGAGAGACGCCAUUUUACAUAGACAAACACACACACACGCACUCAAACACCCUCGUAACGCUGAGCCAUCUCCCUCUGCUUACCUCCGCUCCCAAAAAAACUCUAAAAUGAUUCACCUUCCGGGACUUAUUCUUAGUAUGAUGUCAUUUUGAUGUAAGUGGUCCCAAAAAAGGCAUGAAAUCUGGGUCUUAUGAAACACCACCAUGAUUUAAAUGCAUAAUUAAUUUCCAGUGCUUGAAUCUAGGCUAUGUGCUCAUGCAAAAACAGAGGCUACAUCACAGUCUUCCAGUGCACUAUUUUUCUUCAUAGCCUAUAUAUCAUAUUAUAGACAUAAUUGCAUAUGACAAGGUUCUGCAAUUUAUGGCUUUUUGCUGUCACACGGGUUUAUGCAAGAUGUAUGAGCUGUUUAAA